rnacentral:rRNA from 1 species
UACAGAGGGGGCAAGCGUUGUUCGGAAUUACUGGGCGUAAAGGGCGCGUAGGCGGCCUUCUAAGUCGAACGUGAAAUCCCCGGGCUCAACCCGGGAACUGCGUCCGAUACUGGAAGGCUUGAAUCCGGGAGAGGGAUGCGGAAUUCCAGGUGUAGCGGUGAAAUGCGUAGAUAUCUGGAGGAACACCUGUGGCGAAAGCGGCUCACUGGACCACAACUGACGCUGAGGCGCGAAAGCUAGGGGAGCAAACAGGG